GGUCUUUUGCGUCGGGACUUGGAGUCUGUUCCUUCGUGCUUGGAACAAUGGCCUUCGGUGUAACGUACCUGUUACGUGAAGAUGCUAAGAUGCAAAAGAAAAUACCAAAACAUGGGAGAAUAUUUGCUGAAAAAUUACCUGGCUAACUAAUAUUCUUACCAGCAUCCUGAGGAUUGGUGAAUACUAAUGAAGCUAUCAGUGUCAGCUUCAUUUUGAAUGAGGGGUCGCUGUCUGCCAGUUGAAAAGGGCCAGUUUGCUGUGCCGUUUUUAAGCUGUAACCGUUUCUGGCCAGUCUUAACAAAAUUGACUUGCAUGUUCUAUGGAAAACUGGUGAUCAAGAAAAGCUCUUCAUUUUAUGGACAUGGAAAGAAAACAUACAGAUCAAGAUGGAGUAUUUAUUUUUAAUUUUGCAAAUAGAUUCUGAGCCACAUCAAAUCUCGGUUAAUAUAUCCAUAAGAUUCAAUUCAUUUCUAUUUAGUCGUGUUACACUGCCCUAGAGAGAGUCACACCCUGUUAACUCAUAGGUUAUAUCCUAGAUCUGUUCCUAGAAAUGCAUGUCAAAUUAAGUAUUUGUAGUGAAAUUUUUUUCAGUUAAGUAGCCUUGUAAUCAAAUAGUUCUGGAUAAGUGUCUUAACUUUGAUCACCUGUUUAAAUUUAAAUUGCAUAAUUAUAAUUAAAGCAGAGUGAAAGUUUAUGCUGUUUAAUGGAGAUGAAAACAAUGUGAAAAGACAGGACCUAUUAAUGGGGUGGGGGAGUACCAGGCAUCAAAGUGAUCACUCUGAUUAACUGACUCAGAAUAUUUAGUCUUAAUGUAAUAGCAAUUUGAAAGGAUGUCUAAGCUAAAAAAAAUGAGAGUAAUGAUGAAAAUGAAGAGAGCACAGCAUAGUAGUUAAGGGUCACAAAGAAGGUCACUGAAAAAAAUCUGGGUUAGAACUAGUCCAAUAUUGCAUGAAAUGGAUUUUUGUAAAUAGUAGUAGCAUCUGAUCUAACCAAGGUGAUUAGGUGGCCACUCAUGAUCAUUUUUCCUAAGUAGCUGCAUGAAUAAGUUGUUCCCAAGCCCAUAUCUAAUGUCAUAGUCAAAACACCAAAUUUUUUCCUCAGUGAGCUGUCAUCUUUUUUCCUAAAAUGUUUGUUUUCUUAGCUUAGAGUUUGAUUUUGGACCCAUGCAGCUUAGGAGAGGUUCAUGAGACUGACAAGCCUUUAACUGAGUGGCCAGACAGUGAAUUUGCCUCAAGUAGUAAAACAAUGUAUACAGUGGAUCUCUGGAAAUGUUUCUUGAGCCCAAAUUAAAACACAAAGCACUGAUACCCUAAAGAUUUAAGGGGUUAGUGGUAUAUCCGUACAAUAUUAAACCAGAUACAAGAAAUUCCACAGUGGCUUUGGUUUGUGGGAAAUUACGGGGCCUUGAGGCUUGUUUCAUGAGAAAUUGUGAAAUGAGAAAGAUCAAUGGAUGUAAUGUGUUACACAUUGUGAGUAUCUUGAUAUUACCAAAAGAAAUAAGAAAAACAGACCUUAGAGGUAAACCUGAAGUACACUUUCAGGUAGAGAUUCAAGGAGAUAGUGCAAAUAGAAUGCAGCAAUUGACAAUCUUAGCUGUUACAGCUCCUACAUUUCCUCUUGAUGCUAUAAGAGCAACAAACAAGUAGCAUUGUGUUGGUAAACCUUAUUAGUUUCUUUUGUUAUAUCUAUAUAGAUAUCGGUAAACAGUGUUUAACCUUGCAAUCUACAUCCUUGAAAAAUUUUUUAAACUGAUUUCAAGAGACCGGUUUGUUGUUUCACUUAUACAUUCAAUGGUUGUUUCUUGUGUCUGCAGUACCAGCAAUUGAACCUGCAGCCUUGUUGUAUUGGGACUCCACUAACCAACUGAGCUAUCAGGCUAGGGCUGCAACCUGCAUCUUUGAAUCCCCCUUGUCCAGCUCCAUUUGAAAAUGUUUACCAUGCCUUCUAAGAUCUGUUUUGUUAACUGAUUUAAAUGCCUAGGCACCUUAACUGCCUGGUACUUGGUUGUAUUGUAAGUUUUAAGUGAACAAGGAAUAGUAAAAGACUAAUUGGGAUCCUGCACAAAAUUCAGGCAAAACUAUAUAACUUUUGUCAGAGCUGGCAAACAUAACUUAAAAGGAGGCAAAGUUGUGAAAUAAAAUGAUCCCUCUGAGCUUUUCCUGAAGUUAUGGUUUUGCUCCUUUCCCUCCCAGUCAUUCUUUUAAUGUCACAUUUCCUUAGUUGAUAUAAUCCAAAUCAAAUUGGUAAUGUACAUUUACUUUAUUGCACUGUACAAGGUUCUGCCCAAAAAAAUCAGAUGUAAAAUACUUCCUCUAUCUUCUAUACAUUGGUAGUAUAAAAUACCAAGGAGAGUCAAAAGUGGGCUAUAGAGACACAGAGUACUGUGGGAGACAGGAAUAAUUAAAAUGUCUCUGAAUAGUGAACCAAGUGAAUUUGUUCACUUGGGGCAACUCUAAUGUGAGGAAGACAGAUAUAGGCAUAAGACACUGAAGAUGGUGUGCUCUAGAACCCAAGAGGCAAGCAGGGAGAGUAAGGCUGAAAUGUUAGAAAAGUACCUCACUAAUGCUUUGGGCAAGGAGUUAGAACUGUAAAGAGCUAAUCAUUUGAAUUCCCUAAAAUGUGUUUUCUGUGGAAGGCGUAGUCAGUCAUGUUUAGCUCUAUUGACUACAGGGUCCACACCUGGACAAGGAAUGAGUUGGGUGCAAAAAGGUACAAUUUUAGUGGAAAUUAAACUUCAAAGUUCAUAUAGCAGCUUUAAUUAAACUUACUAGUUGAUUUAAACCCUUUAGUAGACAUCGGGAUGGGAUUUUUCACUUCACACAGUGGAGUUCUUGCUGUUAGUAGUUACAGCUUCCUGGUGUAUGAAUGCUGGGUAAUGAAAGACAAGUACUAGCUAAGACCAAGGACCUUAAGUUAGCUGGGUUGGGGAUUUUAACCCUUCACAAUGGAUUUGCCUCUCAACAGAGAAAUCAAUGGAGACUCAAAAACCCUAGGGACCUAAAAGAAUCAGAUUAGGAUAGAUGGGUGGGCUUGGUUAGGACUGGUUUCAGAAGUGGAAGGCAGACUCUACAUCUCUGGCUUUACUGACUAACCAGUAGGAAUUAUUUUCCCUUUACCUUGCACCAUGCUUCCAGGUUAUCUUAAAAGUUCAGUUGGCUCAGACCUACCAUUUGGUGCUUUCUAAAAUUAGUUCCAUUGCCAGAAACCCAAUAUCCUACUGCACUUGGCUUCCCAAUCAAAUGCCCUCUGAACUGAGGUGCUUCUUAAUCCUUGCUGUUUGCCCAGCCUGUGUAAAAGCUUUUGGCUGUUUUCAUGGUGGUUAUAGCAGUUUCCCACUUAGACCUUUUUUGAAUCGCAGGCUAUUAGCAUAGUCUGCUUAUCUUUCCCCAGUCGUCCUUCCAUGCUUCCUAUCUUUUUCCUCCUGCAGGUUUGUUUUUAAGGUCAAAGUAUAGUAGUACUUAAAGCAUAGUAUUAGGUUGGCCAAAAUGUUGGGGUUUUUUUUUUCCAUAAGAUGGCUUUAAUAGCACUUAGUUGUCUUUAACAUCAUUCAAAACAAUUUUGUUAGAUUGUGUUGUGACAGCUGUCAUAUCAGCGUGCAUUUAAAAAAAAAAAAAGACCAAAAUUGGUGAAUUUUUGUGUAGCUAUUUUAAUAUUGAAGAUGGAAGAAAAUACAUGUCUUGGCAUAUUACACUUUUUUAUUUCAAGAAAGGUAAAAAUGCAACUGAAGUGCAAAAAAGUAAUUUGUACAGUGUAUGGAAAAGGUGCUGUGGCCGAUCAUGUCAAAAGUGGUUUGCAAAGUUUCAUGCUGGAGAUUUGCUGGAUGAUGCUCCAUCCUUGUAUAGACCAGUUGAAGUUAGUAGCAAUCAAACUGACACAUUGAGAACAAUCAACUUUACACCAUGAGGGAGAUAGCAGACAUACUCAAAAGUAUCCAAAUCAAUCAGGUUAAUGGUGAAAAAUGAAAAAUGUGUCUUUUAUAUUACAGAAAAAACCAUACAGACUUUUCAGCCAACACCCUACUUUCAAUUGCCUCACUGAAUAUUGCCACUGCCUCUGGCCUUACUCUACCUCACUGACUGUGUUUUUGGGCAUGUACAGAAAGAUAAGAUCAAAACACAAGUGUGCUGUGAAGUUCAUGAAAUUUUAUGGACCAUCUUGGUUCCAAUAUGAGAACCAGACUCCGUGGCCUCAUCAAGUCCUGCCCUCCCUCCACCCCCUAUCACUUGUCCACUAUUAAGGGCCUGGCAUGCCAUGUGGCUGAGUUAGAAGAGAAAAAAAGGAUCUAAUGUCACAGAAUCCCAAAUG